AGUGAACGCUGGCGGUAGGCCUAACACAUGCAAGUCGAACGGCAGCACAGUAAGAGCUUGCUCUUACGGGUGGCGAGUGGCGGACGGGUGAGGAAUACAUCGGAAUCUACUUUUUCGUGGGGGAUAACGUAGGGAAACUUACGCUAAUACCGCAUACGACCUACGGGUGAAAGCAGGGGAUCUUCGGACCUUGCGCGAUUGAAUGAGCCGAUGUCGGAUUAGAUAGUUGGCGGGGUAAAGGCCCACCAAGGCGACGAUCCGUAGCUGGUCUGAGAGGAUGAUCAGCCACACUGGAACUGAGACACGGUCCAGACUCCUACGGGAGGCAGCAGUGGGGAAUAUUGGACAAGGGGCGCAAGCCUGAUCCAGCCAUACCGCGUGGGUGAAGAAGGCCUUCGGGUUGUAAAGACCUUUUGUUGGGAAAGAAAAGCAGCAGGUUAAUACCCCGCUGUUCUGACGGUACCCAAAGAAUAAGCACCGGCUAACUUCGUG
rnacentral:rRNA from 1 species